rnacentral:rRNA from 1 species
GAUGAACGCUGGCGGCGUGCCUAACACAUGCAAGUCGAGCGAACGGACGAGAAGCUUGCUUUUCUGAUGUUAGCGGCGGACGGGUGAGUAAUACGUGGAUAACCUACCUAUAAGACUGGGAUAACUUCGGGAAACCGGAGCUAAUACCGGAUAAUAUUUUGAACCGGAUGGAUCAAAAGUGAAAGACGGUCUUGCUGUCACUUAUAGAUGGAUCCGCGCUGCAUUAGCUAGUUGGUAAGGUAACGGCUUACCAAGGCAACGAUGCAUAGCCGACCUGAGAGGAUGAUCGGCCACACUGGAACUGAGACACGGUCCAGAAGCCUACGGGAGGCAGCAGUAGGGAAUAUUCCACAAUGGGCGAAAGCCUGAUGGAGCAACGCCGCGGGAGUGAUGAAGGUCUUCGGAUCGUAAAGCUCUGUUAUUGGGGAAGAAGAUAUGUGUAAUUAUCUGUGCACAUCUUGACGGUACCUAAUCAGAAAGCCACGGCUAACUACGUG